rnacentral:rRNA from 1 species
CACUGACAUUAGAUACCCCUGUAGUCCCAGCCGUAAACUAUGCGCGUUAGGUGUACUGGUGACCACGAGUCACCGGGGUGCCGAAGGGAAACCGUGAAACGUGCCGCCUGGGAAGUACGGUCGCAAGGCUGAAACUUAAAGGAAUUGGCGGGAGCACCACAACGGGUGGAGCCUGCGGUUUAAUUGGACUCAACGCCGGAAAUCUCACCGGAUAGGACAGACAUAUGAUAGUCGGGCUGAAGACUCUACUUGAUGAUCUG